rnacentral:rRNA from 1 species
CCGGAUUAAUACCGCAUACACUCUAUGGGAGAAAAAGCAGGGGAUCUUCGGACCUUGCGCUAUUGGAUGAGCCUAUGUCGGAUUAGUUAGUUGGUGGGGUAAAGGCCUACCAAGGCAGCGAUCCGUAGCUGGUCUUAGAGGAUGAUCAGCCACAUCGGGACUGAGACACGGCCCGAACUCCUACGGGGGGGCAGCAGUGGGGAAUAUUGCACAAUGGGCGCAAGCCUGAUGCAGCUAUGCCGCGUGUGUGAAGAAGGCCUUAGGGUUGUAAAGCACUUUCAGUAGUGAGGAAAAGUGUUGUUGUUAAUAGCGCAAUGCUGUGACGGUUAGCUACAGAAGAAGGACCGGCAAACUCCGUG